UACGGAGGGUGCAAGCGUUAUCCGGAUUUACUGGGUUUAAAGGGUGUGUAGGCGGGCUGUUAAGUCAGUGGUGAAAUCUCCGGGCUCAACCCGGAAACUGCCAUUGAUACUAAUGGUCUUGAAUUUUGUUGAGGUAGGCGUAAUAAGUCAUGUAGCGGUGAAAUGCAUAGAUAUGACUUAGAACACCAAUUGCGAAGGCAGCUUGCUAAACAAAUAUUGACGCUGAGGCACGAAAGCGUGGGGAUCAAACAGG
rnacentral:rRNA from 1 species